AUUGAACGCUGGCGGCAUGCCUUACACAUGCAAGUCGAACGGCAGCAUGAUCUAGCUUGCUCGAUUGAUGGCGAGUGGCGAACGGGUGAGUAAUACAUCGGAACGUGCCCUGUAGUGGGGGAUAACUAGUCGAAAGAUUAGCUAAUACCGCAUACGUCCUGAGGGUGAAAGUGGGGGACCGCAAGGCCUCAUGCUAUAGGAGCGGCCGAUGUCUGAUUAGCUAGUUGGUGAGGUAAAGGCUCACCAAGGCGACGAUCAGUAGCUGGUCUGAGAGGACGAUCAGCCACACUGGGACUGAGACACGGCCCAGACUCCUACGGGAGGCAGCAGUGGGGAAUUUUGGGCAAUGGGCGAAAGCCUGAUCCAGCAAUGCCGCGUGUGUGAAGAAGGCCUUCGGGUUGUAAAGCACUUUUGUCCGGAAAGAAAUAGCUCUGGUUAAUACCUGGGGUCGAUGACGGUACCGGAAGAAUAAGGACCGGCUAACUACGUG
rnacentral:rRNA from 1 species